GACGAACGCUGGCGGCGUGCUUAACACAUGCAAGUCGAACGGAAAGGCCCUGCUUUUGUGGGGUGCUCGAUUGGCGAACGGGUGAGUAACACGUGAGUAACCUGCCCUUGACUUUGGGAUAACUUCAGGAAACUGGGGCUAAUACCGGAUAGGAGCUCCUGCUGCAUGGUGGGGGUUGGAAAGUUUCGGCGGUUGGGGCUGGACUCGCGGCUUAUCAGCUUGUUGGUGGGGUAGUGGCUUACCAAGGCUUUGACGGGUAGCCGGCCUGAGAGGGUUACCGGCCACAUGGGGACUGAGAUACGGCCCAGACGCGUACGGGAGGCAGCAGUGGGGAAUAUUGCACAAUGGGCGGAAGCCUGAGGCAGCAACGCCGCGUGCGGGAUGACGGCCUUCGGGUUGUAAACAGAUUUCGCCGGUGACGAAGAGUGAGUGACGGUAAUGGGUAAAGAAGCACCGGCUAACUACGUG
rnacentral:rRNA from 1 species